GGCGCCGCUCUAGACUCCUCCUACUCCCGAAACCCGGCGGCUGGCGCGGGAUGGAGACUGGGUGCUGGUUGCUGGGGGGCGAGUUCGAGGACUCGGUGUUCGAAGAGAGGCGGGAGCGGCGGCCUGGACUGCCGGCGUCCUAUCGCGCCAAGCGCUGCGAGCCGCAGUGGUUUUACGAAGAAACGGGGAGCAGUGAUGAAGUUGAAGCUCUAACUCUGAAGAAAUUCAAAGGGGACCUCGCCUACAGACGGCAAGAGUAUCAGAAAGCACUGCAAGAGUACUCGAGUGUCUCUGAAAAACUGCCAUCUACAAAUUUUGCCAUGAAAAGGGAUGUCCAGGAGGGCCAGGCACGGUGUCUGGUUCACCUGGGAAGGCACACAGAAGCCCUGGAGAUCGCUGCAAACUUGGAAAAUAAAGCAACUAAUACAGACCAUUUAACCACUGUGCUCUACCUCCAAUUUGCUAUUUGUUCAAGUCUGCAGAACUUGGAGAAAACAAUCCUCUGCCUACAGAAACUGAUUUCUUUGCAUCCUUUUGAUCCUUGGAACUGGGGCAAAUUGGCGGAGGCUUACCUGAGUCUGGGGCCAGCUCUGUCAACAUUGUGUGCGUCAUCUCAAAAACAGAACAGUUUUGCCUCCGGUGACAAAACCAUCAAAUCCUCCUUUACACACUCAGGAAAAGACUGUCUUUUGUGUUUUCCUGAAACGUUGCCUGAGAGCCCUGUGUUUUCUGGGGAAGCAAGCAGCAGUAAUAACCAGAAGAAUGAGAAAGCUCUGAAAAAUAUUCAGAACUGUGUGGCAGAAAAGAGAGAAGCAGUGUUGCUCGAGACUCAGAUGAAAGCGUGUGCCUCCUUUAUACGAACCAGGCUUUUGCUUCAGCUCACCCAGUCUCAGCAAACCUCGUUUGCUUUGGAGAGGAAUUUAAGGACUCAGCAGGAAAUUGCAGAUAAAAUGAAAGAGUUCGGCUUCAAAGAAGACACUUUGCUGUUGAUAGCUGAGAUAUUUAUGGUCAUAUAUGAAACUCAGGCACCUGAUUAACUGUACUUCACGCCAGGAAUGCAAUUGAGAAGAAAACAGACCCAAUCCAGGUUCUGACAUCAUGUUUCCAUCUUGGCUAAACAAGUCCACAGAGAAGCUCUCUAGGGGAUGAUCUGGAAGCUAUAAGAUAAGGAAUUAGCAGGAUAAAGACAGCAGGAAUGACCUCUCCAGCAGAGUAAAUAAUCAGCAAGUGCAAAGGCCCUGAGGUGUGAAAGAGCAUGAAAGACCUGGAGGAAAACAGUGUGGCCACAGCACAGUGGAGGGGAAGGAAAAUCCUGCUGAGACAGAGGCCAUGAAUUUCUUUCUCUGUCCCUGAAGUCAGCGGAAGAAUCGAAUGAAGAGGCCUUUUGCUACAUUUCCCCAGUAACUACCUGGAGCUUAUACCCUUUUGUUCUAUCACAAUUUCCACGACUUUCCAGGACUUUCUACUCUUCCUCAAACCUCAUAUAAAAAAUGCUCAGGCUCAACCAUGUCUUAGGAUCAUUUCUUUAUGGAGGCUACAUAUGCCACAUAAAACUUAUAAACAAUCCA